AUUGAACGCUGGCGGCAGGCUUAACACAUGCAAGUCGAGCGAGCGGCGGACGGGUGAGUAAUGUCUGGGAAACUGCCUGAUGGAGGGGGAUAACUACUGGAAACGGUAGCUAAUACCGCAUACCAUAAGAUGAGCCCAGAUGGGAUUAGCUAGUAGGUGGGGUAAUGGCUCACCUGGGCGACGAUCCCUAGCUGGCCUGAGAGGAUGACCGGCAACACUGGAACUGAGACACGGCCCAGACUCCUACGGGAGCAAGCAGUGGGGAUCAUUGGAAAAUGGGGGCAAUCCUGAUGAAGCAAGGCCGCGUGGGUGAAGAAGGCCUUCGGUUUGUAAAGCACUUUCAGCGAGGAGGCGUUACUCGCAGAAGAAGCACCGGCUAACUCCGUGCCAGCAGCCGCGGUAAUUC
rnacentral:rRNA from 1 species